rnacentral:rRNA from 1 species
UACGUAGGGUGCAAGCGUUAAUCGGAAUUACUGGGCGUAAAGGGCUCGUAGGUGGCCAACUAAGUCAGACGUGAAAUCCCUCGGCUUAACCGGGGAACUGCGUCUGAUACUGGUUGGCUUGAAUCCGGGAGAGGGAUGUGGAAUUCCAGGUGUAGCGGUGAAAUGCGUAGAUAUCUGGAGGAACACCGGUGGCGAAGGCGGCAUCCUGGACCGGUAUUGACGCUGAGGAGCGAAAGCCAGGGGAGCAAACGGG